UUGGUCGCCACACAUAAAACCUUUUAAAACAAGGACACGCGAGGGUCUGAGGCUCGUUUGGUGACACUCUGAACCAAAAAAACAAAAGGCUGCCUGUAAGUUUAGCAGUGCUUCAAAUUUGAGGGACACCCCUGUAAAACCACCAGAUGGCAGUCAAGAUCAACAGAAUUAAAUUUCUACAUUUUCUACAAACCCCCCCCUUAAAGUAACCUUUAAUUACCUAACUGAGGCUGAACGUUUGGCACCGAAUUCCCUUUUAUAAUUUAAGUUUUGUAAAUGCAAAUGAAAUCUGCCAUCCAUAGUGUAGCCUUACAUCUUUUAAUUUUUUUUUUUUUUUUUACUUUAAAGGUGUUGGAUGCAUUGAGGGUUUAUGAAAAUCUGCUCAACUGCAAUAUGAAAACGGAACGUUAGUCUUGCACCCUCCAAGCAACCGCCUCUGAACUGACCGAAAACGUCUAGCUUCGUUUCAGACCUCCUGACUGCCACGACGACAACAGCCUAGCAAAGUCAUCACAUGCUUAAGUGCCUCUGCAGCAAAGAACAAAGAGCAAACGUCGUGCCAGAGUCACUUACACAACCUGCAAAUUUAGAGGAGACGACAAACAGGAAAUGACGGCCAUCUCAGCUUUUAAGUGAGUCUGACAGAUGCAAUUAUCCCCUCCUCCAAAGGUUAAUAAACACAUCUACGCACAGCCAUGUGUGAUGGCAGAGCCCUGACCACACAGUACACCCAGAGCAGCUGAGAAGCGCAUGAUGAUUCAUGGCUUUACUUACAGAAAACAUCAAGAGUACAAAACAUCGAUGACGACGACAUCCCAUUAAAAACAUCUUUUGUUUCUUAAAGCUCCUAAACCCCA